rnacentral:rRNA from 1 species
CCUACGGGAGGCUGCAGUGAGGAAUAUUGGUCAAUGGUCGAGAGCCUGAACCAGCCAAGUCGCGUGAAGGAGUACUGCCCUAUGGGUUGUAAACCUCUUUUGUCGGGGAGCAAAAGCCGGACGUGUCCGGCUUUGAUAGUACCCGAAGAAAAAGCAUCGGCUAACUCCGUUCCGACAGCCGCGGUAAUACGGAGGAUGCGAGCUUUAUCCGGAUUUAUUGGGUUUUAAGGGUGCGCAGGCGGAUUUUUAAGUCAUCGGUCAAAACGGUGGCAUAAACCCCUUCCAGCCGUUGAAACUGGGGAGCUUGAGUGUGCGAGAGGUAUGCGGAAGGCGUGGUGUAGCGGUGAAAUGCAUAGAUAUCACGAAGAACCCCGAUUGCGAAGGCAGCAUACCGGUGCACAACUGACGCUCAGGCACGAAAGCGUGGGUAUCGAACAGGAUUAGAUACCCGUGUAGUC